GGGAGCGCGGCUGCGAGCGAGCGGGCUGAGGGGAGCGAGCGCGACCGACCGACGGCCGGGCCGGGCGAGGCGGGCGCAGAGGAGCGCGAGGGGCCGCCGCCGCCGCACAAAGGGCCGGGGCCGGGGCCGGGGCCGGGGCCGGGGCGCCGGGCGCGCGGGCCUGGAAGCGGCGCGGGCCGGGGCCCGGGGGCGCGCGGCGCCGGGCGGCCAUGGCUGGCUACGUGCCGGGGCAGCAGCCGGCCAACCGCAGCCAGGAGAAGGAGUUCGUGCAGGCGUACGAGGAUGUGCUGGAGCGCUACAAAGGGCAGAAUGUCUCUUACCACCCGAGGGUGCAUUCACUAUUGGCCAUUCACUGGAACCUAUUGGAGUAUAAAAAAUGGAUAGCCCCGAAAAAAGCGAGUGGACGUAGUAUACAAUGACGGUGCUCUGGAAUGCUCAGAUUCCUGGGAAACGGUGCAUUGUCUGCAAGAAUACAGCUGGAGUCCAGGCCACUGCACCCCUCCCCCUUCCCGAGAACCUCUCUUCGGAACCAUCACUCACUUCAUAAUUCCAAACAUCCUUGUUUUGUUAUAUUUUUAUCUGAUAUGGUGAAACACACAGAGGAAAUGACAAGCUAGCAUGUGUUGUCUUAUAAAUGCACUUAGUUCAAGUGGCUAUUUUAAAUGUCAGUUGUUCCUGCCAUUAGAUUCCUGUUGUCUGGACUGCUUUUUUUUUUCCCUGGGUUGGGAGGAGUUUCUGAUAGAAUUUUACAGUGGUAUUAAAUCCAGACCUUUUCUGCCUGGUUGAUAAUUCUUUAAACCUUGUUCUUUUCGAUACUUAUGGUUUCCUUGCACUAUAUUAGUUACUUUCAGAUCAGGACACAAAAGAAGUCUUAGAGAUCAAUUCAGAGGUUCUUUGCCUGUGGUUCAUUGACCCUUCUCUACUUGUAAACAAAUGUUUGCAAGUAGAUGAAUAUGUACCCUUUUCUGGGAGAGCAUACUUAGUUUUCAUCAGAUUCUCACUGGAGCUAGUGACCUAGAAAAAACGGGGAUGGGGUAAGAACUAGCAUUUUAUAGGAAUUUCAGGCUCCUGCUCACAUAGCUAGUUAGUGGCAAAGUUGGAUCUUGAGAUAGAUUCUGGACUCUAGGUGUCUUAAUCCUGCAACCAGAGUUUCCCCCACUGUACUCUGUUUCCCACACUCUUCUGGAGAAAUGGUGGAAUAACACCAGGAACAGGCACACAUGUUCUGAACUGUUAUUUAAUGUUGGUCUUUCUCAUCCACAGUCUUGUUUCCCAGAUGGCUCCAAGGUACCUGGUCUCUUGGACCAGGUGACGUCAGAGAUACUAUGAUUCUCACAGUAAUAUAUUGUAGAAUUUAUACAUAUAUUUUAACUAUUCCUCUGUCUAAUUUGUUCUCUGAAAGCAUCAAACUCCCUUUUGACCUUUU